UACGUAGGGGGUAAGCGUUAUCCGGAUUUACUGGGUGUAAAGGGAGCGUAGACGGCCAUUCAAGCCAGAUGUGAAAGCCCGGGGCUCAACCCCGGGACUGCAUUUGGAACUGUAUGGCUGGAGUGUCGGAGAGGCAGGCGGAAUUCCUAGUGUAGCGGUGAAAUGCGUAGAUAUUAGGAGGAACACCAGUGGCGAAGGCGGCCUGCUGGACGAUGACUGACGUUGAGGCUCGAAAGCGUGGGGAGCAAACAGG
rnacentral:rRNA from 1 species